rnacentral:rRNA from 2 species
GACCACGAUCCAACCCUAAAUACUAAUACCAGAUCGAUAGUGCACAAGUACCGUGAGGGAAAGGUGAAAAGAACUGAGGUGAUCAGAGUGAAAUAGAACCUGAAACCAUUUGCUUACAAUCAUUCAGAGCCCUAUGUAGCAAUACAGGGUGAUGGACUGCCUUUUGCAUAAUGAGCCUGCGAGUUGUGGUGUCUGGCAAGGUUAAGCAAACGCGAAGCCGUAGCGAAAGCGAGUCUGAAUAGGGCGCUUAGUCAGAUGCUGCAGACCCGAAACGAAGUGAUCUAUCCAUGAGCAAGUUGAAGCUAGUGUAAGAACUAGUGGAGGACUGAACCCAUAGGCGUUGAAAAGCCCCGGGAUGACUUGUGGAUAGGGGUGAAAGGCCAAUCAAACUUCGUGAUAGCUGGUUCUCUCCGAAAUAUAUUUAGGUAUAGCGUUGUGUCGUAAUAUAAGGGGGUAGAGCACUGAAUGGGCUAGGGCAUACACCAAUGUACCAAACCCUAUCAAACUCCGAAUACCUUAUAUGUAAUCACAGCAGUCAGGCGGCGAGUGAUAAAAUCCGUCGUCAAGAGGGAAACAACCCAGACUACCAGCUAAGGUCCCUAAAUCUUACUUAAGUGGAAAACGAUGUGAAGUUACUUAAACAACCAGGAGGUUGGCUUAGAAGCAGCCAUCCUUUAAAGAAAGCGUAAUAGCUCACUGGUCUAGUGAUUUUGCGCGGAAAAUAUAACGGGGCUAAAGU